CGACUGAACAACAUUUUAAACAGCUUCUAUGGUGUCCAGGUAGAAGGAUCCUUCAACUUGUUUAGAUAAUUGCUGUAGUGGACGCCUUCAAAACUUGUAGCUAAAUUCUGUAACAUGUAGCUAAAGAAAAGGAAAGAAAAUGAAAUACAGCCUACAAUAGUGGUAUGAAAGAAGGUUCAUCUGGCUACAACAUAUAGUUUUAUCAUGGUC
rnacentral:lncRNA from 1 species